UACGUAGGGUGCGAGCGUUAAUCGGAAUUACUGGGCGUAAAGCGUGCGCAGGCGGUGAUGUAAGUCAGGUGUGAAAUCCCCGGGCUUAACCUGGGAACUGCAUUUGUGACUGCAUUGCUGGAGUGCGGCAGAGGGGGAUGGAAUUCCGCGUGUAGCAGUGAAAUGCGUAGAUAUGCGGAGGAACACCGAUGGCGAAGGCAAUCCCCUGGGCCUGCACUGACGCUCAUGCACGAAAGCGUGGGGAGCAAACAGG
rnacentral:rRNA from 1 species